rnacentral:rRNA from 1 species
CGUAGGUGGCAAGCGUUGUCCGGAAUUAUUGGGCGUAAAGCGCGCGCAGGCGGUCCUUUAAGUCUGAUGUGAAAGCCCACGGCUCAACCGUGGAGGGUCAUUGGAAACUGGGGGACUUGAGUGCAGGAGAGAAGAGUGGAAUUCCACGUGUAGCGGUGAAAUGCGUAGAGAUGUGGAGGAACACCAGUGGCGAAGGCGACUCUUUGGCCUGUAACUGACGCUGAGGCGCGAAAGCGUGGGGAGCAAACAGGAUUAGAUACCCUGGUAGUCCACGCCGUAAACGAUGAGUGCUAAGUGUUAGAGGGUUUCCGCCCUUUAGUGCUGCAGUAAACGCAUCAAGCACUCCGCCUGGGGAGUACGGCCGCAAGGCUG